GUAAAGAAAAUAAAAAUAUAAUACCUAAGUCUCUUUGUAUUACAUAAAGCAAAAUGCAAAGCACUGUAUCUUCCAAAUACUCCUCUUGAUAUGGUGGAAUUAUAGAGUAGUAUCAUUUGUAACUGAAAUGUUUUCUAGGGCUGCUAUGCAAAAGCAAGACUGUGGUUUCAUUCCAAUUUCCUGUAUAUCGGAAUCAUCACCAUCUGUGUAUGUGUGAUUGAGGUGUUGGGGAUGUCCUUUGCACUGACCCUGAACUGCCAGAUUGAUAAAACCAGCCAGACCAUAGGGCUAUGAUCUGCAGUUGUCCUGUGGUGAAGAGACUUGUUUCAUCUCUGGAAAUGCAAAACCGUUUAUAGCAUGAAGCCCUACAUGAUCACUGCAGGAUGAUCCUCCUCCCAUCCUUUCCCUUUUUAGG
rnacentral:sRNA from 1 species